UCCAAAAAAGGCAACACAUCAGCGGAGAACCAGCCCAAUCUUGGUUUGCUCCAUCCCUGACCAAGGAGAAGCGGCGGUCGCCAAAGCAGCAGAAUCACCACAAACCCCAUGAUCCCCAUGCUACGGUCCCUCAGCCUGGGGCCAGCGUGCUGGAUCUCCAGCUCACCCAAAUAGUUGGGCCAGGCAGUGACCUCACUAGAUCUGCACCUCCCGCCCCUGUGGAUGCAACGGACAGGGGCAGGGCUGGGGUCUCAAACUCCAAACCAAUCACCCCUAGAACCCCAGCCCAGCCAGGUCCAAGACCCUAGCCAGGGAUCCUGCCCCGGUGUCAGAGCACUGUCCCCUCCGGAUCAAGAGGUGGACCGGUCCAAGGGUAGAAGACGGGGCUAGGGACCUAGAAGAGAUCUGGGGAACCUAUGAAAACAGAAGAGAAGCUGGCAAGAAGAGUGCCCAUAGGUGGAACCUCCGGGAAAGGAGGAGUGUAAGGAGAGGGGAUCCGGGACCCAGGAGAUGACAAGGAGACCAGGGGGAGCCGCGUGGAAACUCCGGGUAGGAGGACAGAGGAGUGCGCCUGCGCAUGAUCUCUUUGGGCGGGAAGUAGCGGACCCGGGGCUCCGCCCUCUUAAAGGGGUAGAAACGGCUGCAGCCUUAAGCGAGACCGCUAAAGGACUUCGGUGAAGUAACCGAGAGGCAGGUGAGUAGAACCGAUACCGAACGCGAGUGACAAGAGGUAGGGUGCCAGUUCCGGGAGAUUGUUAGAGGGUUCCGAUCUUCAUUGUUCCGGGGUACUUGAUGCAUGAGUGUCGCUGGUGUGCGGAGUGGCUGUCACCAAAGAGGGAAGUGCUUGUGGGAAUGGCUGGCGCGCUGCCACUGACCCGCGCUCGGACCCGGGGAGCAGCCAGCGUGGUCCUCUCUGCACCACUCACAUCUGCUUCCCAAGAUCGUGCUCCUGGAGAAGAUGCAGCCCAAGGAACAGCGAAUUCGGGGCACAGGUGGGGCUGGAGUCAAGUCUCUGGACGCCAGCUCUGCAUCUCCAUGGAGCCUCCUGGGUCCCCGCACUUCUUACACUGACAAAAGUAAUGGCAAUCAGAGCCAUUCUCUGGCCUGGGUUCUCAUCUCAUCUCCUCUGCCCCUGGAAGAGGAGUCAGCCAUGCUGUGGACCUGGGAGCCCUGUGCAGAAUGCAGCACCCAUCACGGUGCACCUAGGACUCCUCCUGGGAAGGAAGGCUGGAGCCUCACUCACUUCAUGCUGGCACCACACGGUAAGUGCCCUACCUCAGCCCUGGGUGCCCAAGGUCACCCGGCCCAGGCAGGCUGACAGUUUGGUGGCUGCAUGCCAAGAUAGUUCCUGUGCACCUGAGGGAGCAUGGGAAGUGGGCUGGAAGGGGUUCAGGGGAGGAGUGCAGUGGGCUGGGGAUGAGGACCCCCGAGGCCCUCCUAGGCCUGAGUGUCCCCUCACCUGGAACGUGAACUUGGAUACCUAACUCUCCCCAUGUGCUCUUUUUUUUCGUCAUCUCUAAGGCGCAAGCAGGUAAUUCUGAGAAUUAAAUGGGAGGCCAUAGGAAGACCUCUGUAAGUCAACACUGCUACUGUCCCCGGGGCUGCUGUCCUCCCCACCUGGAAGACUCUCUGACUUUCAUUUGCUCUGUCCCCAGCUCACCAUGGCCAAAUGGCUGCAGGCCCACAGACUGGAGGGGACAGUGGGUGGUGGGCUGGGGGAUCAUGGUGUCCCUUCCAGCCUGGGUUGCCCAUCCCUGGUUGGCAGUGACUCAGUGGUGCCCAGGAGAGGUUGUGACAGCCACAGCCCAGGCAAGGGAAGAAACAAGGUAGGAGGCUUGGCUUCACCCUGCUUGGCUGUGACACGGGGACAGGAGACACACCUCCUCUGAGCCUGAGCUCCAGCUCAGAAUGGAGAUAGAGCUCCCUGGAGGGCUGGGGAAGAGGAGGGAGAUGCUGUGGGACAGAGUAGCCAUUGCCCAGGCCCCUGACUAAGGGCUUCCCGGGAGUCACACGGACGCUGUCCAUCUCUGUGUGGCACGUGCCCAUUGAUUCAACCAACUGCAGAUCAAAAACAAGUUUUUUAAGGGCUGGGGAUUUAGUUCAGUGGUUCCAGUGCCUGCCUCACAAGUGCAAGGUCCCAAGUUUGGUCCCCAGUACCAAAAAAACAAAAACCAAACCAUGUUUUAAAAAAACAUUCCUCUAUCCUGAACAUGUGCAGCUUUUUCUUGUCAUUAACCCUUUAACAGUAGUGUAACAACUAUGUGUAUAACACAUAGCAUUAGGUAUUGUCAGUAAGCAAGAUACCAAUUCAAGUGAACAGGAAGAUGUGGGUACCUGUGCAAAUGCUACACGCUUUUUAUAUAAGGGACUUGAGCAUCCAUACAUUUUUGUAUCCUUGGGGCUCUAGGACACAUCUCUCAUAGAUACUGGGGUACUUUAUUUCACUCUAGAGGCUGGGAAAAUAAGGUAAGAUAGUAAGACACAGGCAGCACUUUGCCUGAGCUUAACAUUUCUUUUUUACACUUGUGAAUACAAAGAGUCUGUGCCCAGUGAUACCAGUGGAGAGAUGUGUAAGUAAGAUUUACACUUCCUCCUCCUUCUCCCCACAGCUGUGGCCAGGUGGACUUUACACCCAAAUUGUUUGUAGUUUUACAAAAAUGAGACCAUCUUUCCUUUCAAAGAUUCCCCCCAUGCACUAGAUUUUGUGUUUCACAAAGAUCUUUUGUCUCCACUGCCAUCUCCUUGGAUGCCCCAUGGUGCUGGGAAGAGGGAGCCCAGAGGCCCCGAAGUGUCUACUGCCCUCUAGGUUGGGCCCCGGGGCCCCUGACCGUGUCCUCUUGUGAGUGCCCGUCUGCAGAGAAGGUGAAGCCACGCUGUGCAGGUUCAGGAGAGACAAGCUCAGCAUCUCCGCCCAUGCACUCCCAGUGCAGAACAUGUCUGCGACCAGACACAAGGGACCCCACACCCGGCACUGCUGCACAUGACCGCAGCACACCAGUGGGUGUCUUGCUUGGGUUCGAUUAAUUUGCUACAGCAGCUGACAGAACUCAAGGAAGCAUUCCUACCGACAAUAAAGGACCUUACAGAGAAAGGAAUGAGCACUCAGUGGCAGAGCCUCUGUGUUCAGCAGUCUAGAAGCCCUUAGAACAUAGUCCUGUGGAUUGGUUUGGAUUGGUUUGUUUUUUUGAGACAGGGUCUCUCUGUAGCCCAGGCUGGCCUCAAACUCAUGGUAAUCUUCCUGCCUCAGCCUCCUAAGUACUGGGAUUACAGGCAUUCACCACCAUGCCUGGCUUUUGGGGUUUUAGGAAAUUAUAUUGUGUAUGUAUGAGGUGUGAUCAAAAUAUACAGUGUUUAAAAUUUUUAAAUGCAUUACAAUAAAAGACACAUUGCCAUUUAUCUCCCUUAAAAUACUCCUCCUCACUUGAAACACAUUUAUCCCAUCAUUCUUGCCACUUUCUGAAGCCGUUCUGGAGUCCUCUUUCAUGGGAGUCUUUUGUGUUGUGAUAAGAAACAGUGAAUGCUGCUGCCGAGUGCCAUCCAACAGAAAGGCAGCUUGUAAAGACAUGACACUGCAUCUUCAUCCACCUUACUCACCAGAUCUGGCAAAAUGUGACUUCUGGCUCUUCCCCAAAGUCAAAGUGACCAUGAAAGGUAAAUGUUUAUAAUCAAUUCAGGACACCAAGGCAGCUACCAAACAGCUAAAGACAUUCAUGAAAGAUGACUUUCAGAACUGCUUCAGGAAAUGGCAAGUACUAUGGGAUAAGUGAGUUUGGAGUGAGGGGGAGUACUUUGACAGGGUUCAUGACAACCUUUUUGUUUUUUGAGACAGGGUCCUGCUACGUAGUCUAGUCUGGCCUUGAACUCGUGGUGAUCUCCUGCCUCAGCCUCCAGAGUGCUGGUAUUACAGGUGUGCCCUCCAUGCCUGGCUUCAACUCAACCUUCAUUAUCUCGCCCCACCCUGGCUAGGAAGGAAAGUUGCAAACCUAAAUCACAUGGUUGAUUUCCCUGGCAACCAGCACCCCCCACCCUGACCUAGGGGUCCCCAACCACACACAAGGCACUCUUUUCCCCCUGUGAUCCAAGGAUUUGCAGACCUGUAUGCCAGGAAAUGGGCUAGAAGUCCAAAUAUGUGUUUCAUAGUGUUUCAUAGGCUCAGAGGGAAGAAGCUGACAGGGUGAGCAAGGCCACAAGGCUUCUCCUGACUCAGACCGACAGAGUCGGGGCCCUGCCCGACUCUCCAGCCCAGCGGCCCAUCACGCGUCAUGCAGAGGAUCAGACUGGUGAGACUGUGCCGGUCUCCCGUCAAAGUGGAGCUGAGCAGAACUGCCUGGAAUGAAGAGCUGGGGUGGAAAUGGCCGAGAGGGAGGAAGGCCCCAGGCUCCUGCUGAGCCCAAGCUGGUGAUGACUAAGACUGAGGCCCAGCCUAGAAGGCGGGCCAUUUCCAUGGGGCCUUUCAGGCUGGCUUUCUGGGCUGAGCCACCAGGGACUUCUCUCUACAUGCUAAGUGCCAACGUUAGCACUUGCUGCUGUGACCCUGGGGAGGGCACUGCCCACUCUGAGCCCCAGCAGCUCUGUCUUCUGAAGCACUGUGGGGCUCUAGGGAAAGAUGACAGAUUUUACUAAUAAAUUAUAUUACUGUUACGCAAAUGCAA